UUAACAUUUCUCCAUUACAACUAAAUUAAAAUAGAGAGGUAUUUAUGAUACUUUUUUAUUUCAAAAAAGUAUUAUCAUUUUUAGGUAGCUCGAAAUAAGCAAUAAAUAAACACCUCAAAAGGAAUAUUGGCGGGAGACGUCGAAAUUGUCAGCCAGUGACGUCAUGCAUUUUCGAGCUAACGUUGAGGUUUAAAGGGGGACGCAAUUUUAGGGGAUUUAUUCCGAUUUAUCUCCGAAUCCAGC
rnacentral:lncRNA from 1 species